GGGCCCGUAGUUCAGCUGGUUAGAAUGCCUGCUUUGCAAGCAGGAGGUCACCGGUUCGAAUCCGGUCGGGUCCACCA
rnacentral:tRNA from 1 species